rnacentral:rRNA from 1 species
GAUGAACGCUGGCGGCGUGCCUAAUACAUGCAAGUCGAGCGAACAGAUGAGGAGCUUGCUCCUCUGACGUUAGCGGCGGACGGGUGAGUAACACGUGGAUAACCUACCUAUAAGACUGGGAUAACUUCGGGAAACCGGAGCUAAUACCGGAUAAUAUAUUGAACCGCAUGGUUCAAUAGUGAAAGACGGUUUUGCUGUCACUUAUAGAUGGAUCCGCGCCGCAUUAGCUAGUUGGUAAGGUAACGGCUUACCAAGGCAACGAUGCGUAGCCGACCGGAGAGGGUGAUCGGCCACACUGGAACUGAGACACGGUCCAGACUCCUACGGGAGGCAGCAGUAGGGAAUCUUCCGCAAUGGGCGGAAGCCUGACGGAGCAACGCCGCGUGAGUGAUGAAGGUCUUCGGAUCGUAAAACUCUGUUAUUAGGGAAGAACAAAUGUGUAAGUAACUAUGCACGUCUUGACGGUACCUAAUCAGAAAGCCACGGCUAACUACGUG